rnacentral:lncRNA from 1 species
GCUUACCUGGAGAAAUGCAGCAUGUUUCCAAGGGCUGUGGCUGGUUGUAGCCAUGGGAUCUCCAACUGCAUGCCAGAGUAACUGGAGAGACUUUGACAGCGCAGGUCAGCACAGUGCCUGCAGCUGCCACUCAGCUUUCCUAUAUAUGCUUUGCCUGGACUUACGCUCUACCUAGAAUACUGUUCUGUCUCAGGAUUCACAACAGAGCUUCCUUCUGCAGGUUACACUGAAUGUUCUUGGAAAUGUCUGAGAAGCCGGCCUGCCACUGCUCAAAUAAACUAAGGUAAAGUUGCCGUCUGAGACAGCCUGACCCUCUGGUUCCCUUUCCCAUCGGAUCUUGACACUGGUCUUGGUGGUCGUAAAGGAGGAAGAGUAUGCGGAUACUGGCCUCACAGCAAUGUACUCUGGUAUAGAGCACUGGCCAGGUUCAAACAUAUUUGGGGUUAUAAAUGGGAUAAUUUGAGAGCAAAAGAUGCCUCUGGGCAGUUGUAGCAUUGCUGACUUGGAUUUCUUUCAUGUUUUACUUAUAGGGCCAUUGACCAGUGAAGUGGCCAUCAUUCGUGAUGUGGUCUACAGUUGGUUCGACAAGUCAACAAGAGGACUGGACUGCCCUGGAAGCAAGCAGAAGUCUGGCUAAUACUCAGCCAGGCUGCCUUUAACACCAGCACUUGAAGGGCCAGCCUGGUCCACAAGGAGAAACCCUGAAAAAUAAAGUAAAAUACAUUGACUUACUAUAUACUUAG